UCUGAUUUAAGAAAAAGAAAUUACAGGC
rnacentral:piRNA from 1 species